GCGGUAACAGGGGAAAGCUUGCUUUCCUGCUGACGAGCGGCGGACGGGUGAGUAAUGCCUGGGAAAGUGCCCGGUAGAGGGGGAUAACCACUGGAAACGGUGGCUAAUACCGCAUAAUGUCUACGGACCAAAGAGGGGGAUCUUCGGACCUCUUGCUAUCGGAGCUGCCCAGGUGAGAUUAGCUGGUUGGUGAGGUAACGGCUCACCAAGGCGACGAUCUCUAGCUGGUCUGAGAGGAUGAUCAGCCACACUGGGACUGAGACACGGCCCAGACUCCUACGGGAGGCAGCAGUGGGGAAUAUUGCACAAUGGGGGCAACCCUGAUGCAGCCAUGCCGCGUGUGUGAAGAAGGCCUUCGGGUUGUAAAGCACUUUCAGCGAGGAGGAAAGGAUAAGGCUUAAUACGUUUUAUCUGUGACGUUACUCGCAGAAGAAGCACCGGCUAACUCCGUGCCAGCAGCCGCGGUAAUACGGAGGGUGCGAGCGUUAAUCGGAAUUACUGGGCGUAAAGCGCACGUAGGCGGUUGCUUAAGCGAGAUGUGAAAGCCCGGGGCUCAACCCCGGAAUUGCAUUUCGAACUGGGCGACUAGAGUACGAGAGAGGGUGGUAGAAUUUCCAGUGUAGCGGUGAAAUGCGUAGAGA
rnacentral:rRNA from 1 species